rnacentral:rRNA from 1 species
AUUGAACACUGGCGGCAUGCCUUACACAUGCAAGUCGAACGGCAGCACGGGUGCUUGCACCUGGUGGCGAGUGGCGAACGGGUGAGUAAUACAUCGGAACGUACCUUAUCGUGGGGGAUAACGCAGCGAAAGCUGUGCUAAUACCGCAUACGCCCUGAGGGGGAAAGCGGGGGAUCGCAAGACCUCGCGCGAUUAGAGCGGCCGAUGCCUGAUUAGCUUGUUGGUGGGGUAAAAGCCCACCAAGGCGACGAUCAGUAGCUGGUCUGGGAGGACGAUCAGCCACACUGGGACUGAGACACGGCCCAGACUCCUACGGGAGGCAGCAGUGGGGAAUUUUGGACAAUGGGGGCAACCCUGAUCCAGCAAUGCCGCGUGAGUGAAGAAGGCCUUCGGGUUGUAAAGCUCUUUUGUCAGGGAAGAAACACCGGCUCUAACACAGUCCGGGAAUGACGGUACCUGAAGAAUAAGCACCGGCUAACUACGUGCCAGCCGCCGCGGUAA